rnacentral:misc_RNA from 1 species
GAUGAAGAACGCAGCGAAAUGCGAUAAGUAAUGUGAAUUGCAGAAUUCAGUGAAUCAUCGAAUCUUUGAACGCACAUUGCGCCCGUCAGUAUUCUGGCGGGCAUGCCUGUUCGAGCGUCAUUACGCCCCUCAAGUCCCCUGUGGACUUGGUGUUGGGGAUCGGCGAGGCUGGUUUUCCACAGCCGUCCCUUAAAUUAAUUGGCGGUCUCGCCGUGGCCCUCCUCUGCGCAGUAGUAAAACACUCGCAACAGGAGCCCGGCGCGGUCCACUGCCGUAAAACCCCCCAACUUUUUAUAGUUGACCUCGAAUCAGGUAGGACUACCCGCUGAACUUAAGCAUAUCAAUAAGCGGAGGA